rnacentral:rRNA from 1 species
AACGAACGCUGGCGGCAUGCCUAACACAUGCAAGUCGAACGAGAUCUUCGGGUCUAGUGGCGCACGGGUGCGUAACGCGCGGGAAUCUGCCCUUUGGUUCGGAAUAACAGUUGGAAACGACUGCUAAUACCGGAUGAUGACGAAAGUCCAAAGAUUUAUCGCCAGAGGAUGAGCCCGCGUAGGAUUAGCUAGUUGGUGUGGUAAAGGCGCACCAAGGCGACGAUCCUUAGCUGGUCUGAGAGGAUGAUCAGCCACACUGGGACUGAGACACGGCCCAGACUCCUACGGGAGGCAGCAGUGGGGAAUAUUGGACAAUGGGCGAAAGCCUGAUCCAGCAAUGCCGCGUGAGUGAUGAAGGCCUUAGGGUUGUAAAGCUCUUUUACCCGGGAUGAUAAUGACAGUACCGGGAGAAUCAGCUCCGGCUAACUCCGUGCCAGCCGCCGCAGUAA